rnacentral:rRNA from 1 species
AACGCUAGCUACAGGCUUAACACAUGCAAGUCGAGGGGCAGCAUGAACUUAGCUUGCUAAGUUCGAUGGCGACCGGCGCACGGGUGAGUAACGCGUAUCCAACCUUCCGUACACUCAGGAAUAGCCUUUCGAAAGAAAGAUUAAUACCUGAUGGUAUGAUGAGAUUGCAUGGUAACAUCAUUAAAGAUUUAUCGGUGUACGAUGGGGAUGCGUUCCAUUAGAUAGUAGGCGGGGUAACGGCCCACCUAGUCGACGAUGGAUAGGGGUUCUGAGAGGAAGGUCCCCCACAUUGGAACUGAGACACGGUCCAAACUCCUACGGGAGGCAGCAGUGAGGAAUAUUGGUCAAUGGGCGCGAGCCUGAACCAGCCAAGUAGCGUGAAGGAUGAAGGUCCUACGGAUUGUAAACUUCUUUUAUAAGGGAAUAAAGUCACCCACGUGUGGGUGUUUGUAUGUACCUUAUGAAUAAGCAUCGGCUAACUCCGUGCCAGCAGCCGCGGUAAUACGGAGGAUGCGAGCGUUAUCCGGAUUUAUUGGGUUUAAAGGGAGCGUAGACGGGUCGUUAAGUCAGCUGUGAAAGUUUGAGGCUCAACCUUAAAAUUGCAGUUGAUACUGGCGUCCUUGAGUACGGUUGAGGCAGGCGGAAUUCGUGGUGUAGCGGUGAAAUGCUUAGAUAUCACGAAGAACUCCGAUUG